AGGCGGCGUGACUUCGAGGGGGGCCGAGGGCAAAGGAGGAGCUGUUGUGGUGAAGUCUAAAUGCGAGGUUGUUCCGGUCACCGUCGAGGUGCGAAGAUAUGAAGGUGAGGGCUGCUUUGCGGGUGGUUAUUGCUGUUCGUGGCUUUUGUUGUUGUUGUAGCAUACUUACAAUUGUAUCCUUUGACGCACAGAUUUUCAGCAAGCUGUAAAGUCGAUGAGCUCAGAAGAACUCUUCAACUUGGAGGCCAACCUCGUAAAGAAGGUAUGGUUAUUUGCUAAUUUGAUGACAUGUGUGGUUUGUACUUUGUUUAAUGACUUGGCUUAAUGUUCUUGUUUAAAAC
rnacentral:lncRNA from 1 species